UUUGAGCUUGACUUUACCCAUGCAGGUUUUUGUUUAGAUUGUAACAAAUUAGGCAUUCAGGAAAUGUUGAUAAUCAGCUUCAGUUUAUUGAAUAUCCCUUUGAAUGCAUUUGAGGUGUAACGAUUUGGUACAGAACCACAUGAAGAAUUACUUGUUUCAAAGCCAAUUCAAAAUAAAAUCUUUUUGAUUUGAAAAUUAGCUUUUCCACUGGUGAAUGUACAUUAAAGUUUACAACACUGUCUGAAGAUCUUGGGAGGGAUCGUGGUGUUUAUUGUGUGGUAGUAAAAAAGAGACCAAAAUAUUGGAAAAACUCCAUAGAAGUAACUAAAUGCAAUUAGCAGCAAAACAUCUUGGCCAAUAUUGCAACCAAAUUCAUAAGAUAAUACUAUCACUGUUCAACCUGGAGUAAGUGAUCUUUUCUUUUCAUAAACCAGUUCUGUAUUUGUGGCAUAUUUAAGCAGAUUUUGUGUUUCCCGCGGUACCCAUACUGCGGGAAACCCAUUAUUUGAAGCUUAAUAAGUAAGUUGCUGUUUACCAGUUGAAUAUGUCACUUGCCAAACGUUGAAUAAAUUCGGAACACUUCGAGCACAUUUGCAUUUGAGCUCUAAAAGCAAAGUUUCAUGUUUCUUAACCAUCCAGUUUCUCUUUGAAGUUGAUGAUUUCUUCUGGGGCAAGUUGGUCAAUGUAGGACAGAAAUGUCCAUUUACUCAAUUCUUCCAACGAGCACCUGGAUCCAUUUAAUCUCAUUAUUUUCUUCUUUCCACAUUGCCUCAAUUUCCCCAGGAUUCUACCUCUCACCUACACACUGGGGAUAAUUUACAUAGCCAAUUAACCAGCCAACCCACACUUUCUUUGAGAUCAUGAAAGGAAACUUGCGAAGUGACAGGAAUAAUGUGCAAACUCCAUGCACACACCACGAGAGGGCCGGAUUUAAUCCAGGAUUUUACGACGAUGAGGCUGUAACUCUAAAAAUGUGCUGCAGUACACCAUUGUGCUGACCCAUAUACAGUUAAUGGACAAUUAUUGUUUGUUUUUUAUGUGUACAUAUGCGCGUAACUUUUUUUCUCAUUUAUUAUAUUCAAAUUCACAUUCACAUUUAUUGUUGUGCACCAAUUAAAAUACAAUGAUACCAUGCAGCCAUACAAUUAAAACAAUACAAUUCAAAGAACGAUAAAACUUAACAUAAACAUCCACCACAGUGAUCGCUGUGAUGGAAGGCAAUAAAGGUCAGUCGGUCUUCCUCUUGUAAUGUUUACAGUGUACUAUGUUUACAUAUUCUGUUGUGCUGCCGCAAGUAAGAAACUCAUUGUUCUAACUGGGACACAUGACAUUAAAACACUCUUGGUUCCUGGAUCAAUGACAUUCAUCAGAACGUUGAUUGUAUUUCUCUCCACAGAUGCUGCCUGAAGUGCGGUGUAACCCCAGCAUUUACAGCAUUACAGAUUGUUGUCACCUUUUUAAAUGUUAAAGCAUGUGAUGGCACCCCACAGUUAAUCUGGCAUCAGCAAACCCGUCACAGAUUAGGAAUUAUUUUUCUGCUUUUCUCUUGCAUACCAUGUGUUGGCAUCUAUAUAUUUUGUCUGUCAGAGAUCUUGCAGCUACUGUAGAUGCAACAUACUGUGGAUAGACUUGAAAUUAACUUUGCAGUUUUUAAAAAAUUGUACAAAGACAGAAUCUUCCAUCUUUUAUAACAAAAAUGUACCAUUUCUCUUUCACAGCGCCACUCUCUUUGAAUUUGAAAGUGACUAGAUACAUAAAUGAGGAUUGUUUGCCACUGCAGUAGAUAUGUGCUCUGCUGUACUGCUCCCAGCUUACUGAAUGGAUUCAUGAGCCAAGAAAUAAAUAAUUUGCACCACAGGAUGGCAGUCUGCGUUCUCCAGUUCUGUCAUCUUAGAAGGAACGGACUAUUAUAAAUGUGUAUAUAGGGCCGUACGCAAGUGCAUCUCAAACUUCAAGAACUUGGUGGGUAACUCUGCAAAAGCAAUCUACCAACAAAAUAUCAGUUUUUACUUUGUUUUUUGAGUUGUUUACACUGUUUUCCAUUUAAGUUGACAAUCUCAUGAUGUGGGCAAAGGAAUAGCAUCACUUUCAAGCUGAAAAGAUCUGCUGUACAUGAUGCAGAAAAUUGAUUGGAAAAUUUGCGGCAUGAGAUAAAGAAUAUGUUCCAGUAUGUCUUUGCCCAGAGUUGCUCAGUGCCAGUAUGUUUUGAGUACUUGUUAUCCUUUGUAUGUUUUUAAUAAAAUGUUAAUAUGUUGCCACAA